CAAGCCGCGCUCCGCUCUUGGAGGGUGGACAGAGCAAGCGGGGCAAAUCCAUCACCCAACAACUUACAGCACAAGACCUGUGGAAGGUUUAUUCAAAAAUGAGAGCUGGAAUAUGGUCAUCUUCUUUACAUUUCUUUGUGCUUCAAGCAAUUGGACAAUGAGCAAAGGCUAAAGAACGAGGAACAAAAAGGUGUAGAAACUUCUAAGAAAUGAAAAUGCAGACAGCGUGUGCAACUAAAAUGAAGGACUGCAUUAUCAAAUUCAUGAGUUUUCAAAGAAGGAUUCAUUUAUGUCACCC